GGCGCGAAACCUCUGCAAUAGGCGAAAGCCUGACAGGGUUACUCUGAGUGGUUCCCGCUAAGGGGAUCUUUUGGCACCUCUAAAAAUGGUGCAGAAUAAGGGGUGGGCAAGCCUGGUGUCAGCCGCCGCGGUAAUACCAGCACCCCGAGUGGUCGGGACGAUUAUUGGGCCUAAAGCAUCCGUAGCCGGUCAUGCAAGUCUUCCGUUAAAUCCAGCCGCUCAACGGUUGGGCUGCGGAGGAUACUACGUGGCUAGGAGGCGGGAGAGGCAAGCGGUACUCAGUGGGUAGGGGUAAAAUCCUUUGAUCCAUUGAAGACCACCAGUGGCGAAGGCGGCUUGCCAGAACGCGCUCGACGGUGAGGGAUGAAAGCUGGGGGAGCAAACCGGAUUAGAUACCCGGGUAGUCCCAGCUGUAAACGAUGCAGACUCGGUGAUGGGAUGGCCUCGAGCUAUCCCAGUGCCGCAGGGAAGCCGUUAAGUCUGCCGCCUGGGGAGUACGGUCGCAAGA
rnacentral:rRNA from 1 species